ensembl:lncRNA
UGGUGACUUGCUUUCUCAAGGACCAUUCAGGUGAAAGGUUUCCUUCCUAAAGCAUAAGCCACCAGGAACAGCUGGGAAGGUAGCUUCUUGGCUCACACCCAUUCAUUCAUUCAUAAAUAAUUGCUGAGCGCCUGCUCCACAGUGGCCCUGUGCUAGGCUCUGCAACCAUUGCACCCAGGAAAAAAAAAAAAGAAAACAAGGAACUUACCCCAUUGAGUGUACCUGCUAGGCGUUAAUCCAAUGACCACACUGAUAACUGGAUAAUUGCACGGAGAUAACGUGCUCUUAUGGAAAGAUACAGAGUUCUAUGAGGGGAAUAAACCAAGAAGCCUGACGUAGGCUGGGGCCUGAGGGAAGGCUUCCCCAAGGAAAUGUGGUUUGGGCUGAAAACCAAAAAGUGAGGCGACAUCAACCAGGGAAGGAAGAGAAAGGGCAUCCCAAACAGCCGGAGCCCAGUGGAGCUGGAGAGCAGAGUCUGGCAGGUGUGCCCGGAGCUGCUGCGGAGAUGGGGGCCACUAUGCUGGACCCCACAUCCCAAUUCACUCAGGGCCUGCGUUCCGAGAGCAGUGUCAAGUAGCCUCAGCCCUUAAGCAGGGGCUGACAUGAUCAGAUCUGGGUUGUCACAGAAUCCUCUGGCUGCGGGACUCGGAGGUGGAGCCAGAGCAGAUGGGAGUUAGAAUGGGGAUCAGGUCCCAGGAGUUCAGGCUUGUGCCUCUUGGGCCUGGGAGGCCUGACCACUUUCAUUUAUCAAGGCUCCCAGUAUAUUGUGAUAUUAAGAACUAAUAAAAGAAGAUCAUAGAAAUUGAUUUAUUUUAAUGUUUACAUUUUAAAAAACAUUUGGCCUGAAAACUACAAUACAAGUGUGCUUUUCAAAGAAAAACUCUGAUUUAUUUAUUUUAAUUAAUUCAUAGUGCCCUGCAGGCUGUGUGGUCCUUGUUGAUAGAUCAUAAGUUGAAACACAAACAAUACGAUGAACAUCUUUUCAUCUAGUCAUUGUAUCUCUAGGACCAAAUGUGUAACCUUACUUGGCAACAACACCAAAGUCUAAGUCUGAGUCUCUUUGUAAAUGGCUCGCCCACUUAUCUGUCAUGAUGGAGCACAGUCCAAGUGAGAGAUGAGAGAUGAGAGAGUUGGAUGGGGGCAAGAAGGACCACGGGGAGGGAGAUAAGUGAACUGACUCCAGUGAGUCCACCACUUAAGAAUGUGUGGAUCGUUCACUGCUCAAGAGCUCCCAGUCAAGGACGUGAGUGGGGGCUGCAGUUCAGCCAGAGCCUUACUUUCCACUCAUUGAGUCCUGGCACAGGACUGAGUCCGCUGGAGGAUGAGAUGUCUUCUACUUUGCACAAAGCACCAUGCAUGCUUGCAGUGGCCCUCCAUGAGACAGACAGUGAGGAGAUAACAUAGAAGGGCUUGGAAAUAGAUUAGAUAUGGGAGUGAGGAAAUGGAAGGAUAAAGGUCUUACCUCCACUUCUUUUUCCACCCCACCCCUUCCUGGCCCAAACCAAGGUAUGAAGCAGCUGGAAUCUCCAAUUUUUAUCCCUGCCAUCCUGUCUGCCCCACCCUAUCCAUCUAUCCCAUCCAGUAUUCUCUACCUCGCUCUCCCCCACGCCUCCCUCCCCACCACUGCUCUGAUAAGCCAACUCUGCUCAUAGAAGAAUCUUCUAUCUAAAGACAGUUUAGAAGUUUUAAGAAGCUGAAGGCAACUCCUCAAAUCCAUACAGUGCAAAUAUUUUGUGGCCUGAGAGCCUUUCUCUUAUCUAGGAAUUUGUGACAUUGAGAUGAUUCAUGGAAAACUUUUUCAACCAAAUGAACCAAGUGAAUCAAGAUACCCAACCCAUGAGUUACAACCAGCCCCUCUUCCCAAGACCUCCUGUUCACACAGCACCAGAGUUCCAUGCUUGUUGUCACUGAUCUAAAGGACGCCUCUGUCCAGUGUGACUCCUUGUCCCCUGGAGUUACACAGUGAGGCUGCCCUGCUCCUCGGCCAUUUGUCAGAGGCCAGAGCUAUCAUUUGCAGGCCCUGAAAGGGACAUGAGAAGCAAGCAGAAGCCUAGGUUGGGAAAUGCCCGGGCCUGGGCAGUAUCCUUGUUCUGCAUCAUGACUUGGCUUUCUGCCACCUUUCCACAGGUGCAAAGCUUGGGGCAAGCCACCUCGCAGGUCUAGAGGAGGAAACAGAGAGACAAGCCCUGGGAGUGGAUGCUCCCAGGAACCAGUGUUUGGAGCACCUAGAAUGCCCUCCUGUCUUCUCACUUCCCUAUUUAGGGAUAGGGCGGAAGACUUCAUCAUUCUUGGCUAAAGGAGCAUCAUGCGACAUGAGAUUUGCAACUGGAGAGAGCAUUGCCCAGUUGCUGUGACCAUCUUUAAUGCUCGAGCACAGCACAGUAAGUCUUGGCCUGCUUUGACACGGAAGAAGAGGAGAAGAGGAGGAGGAAAUGAGGACGAGAGAGAAGGGAUUGGGUCUCAGCCAUUGAAUCCUUCCUGUUAUGCUAGCCUUCUGAGCAGGGGGACUCUG